rnacentral:rRNA from 1 species
UACGGAGGGUGCGAGCGUUGUCCGGAAUCAUUGGGCGUAAAGGGCGCGUAGGUGGCGGGACAAGCGUGCGGUGAAAGCCUGGGGCUCAACCCCGGGUCGGCCGUGCGAACUGUUUUGCCUGAGCACUGUAGAGGCAGGCGGAAUUCCGGGUGUAGCGGUGGAAUGCGUAGAGAUCCGGAAGAACACCGGUGGCGAAGGCGGCCUGCUGGGCAGUAGCUGACACUGAGGCGCGACAGCGUGGGGAGCAAACAGG